GUGCUGAACACGCUCCCAUAUGAAUCUGCAAGAAGGGGGAAGCAGCAGCAGCAGCAGCAAGUCCUUCAGGCAGCAUAAACUGAGACACCAGCCACCACUCCUACCAUCAGCCACACUGUACUGUACAGCAUUCAGUAAACCCGCGACACUGCAUCAGAGAAAGAAGAUGGAAGAACAGUCAAAAACAGAUGUGAUUCUUGCAUCCAUCCAGAUGCCAAACAUGAUUUUGAAUAGUACCACCAAACUAUUGAAGUCGCAGUUCUAUGAGAAUAACUUAGUUGUACAAUAGGGAUAGGCAAUUUAGCUGUUGCCGGACUGUGUACAUUGUUGUACCAUCAAAGAAAAUACUGUACACCAAGAAGGCAUAUUGUAAUUACGGCAGGAACACAGUUAUACUGUGAUAAUGUAAUAUAUAAGUGAGAUACCAGCCACCAGUUCUUUAGCAUCGAGUCAGAUAAGAUACGGUGUGCUCUUCGCCUCUUCCCCGCAACACGGUUACACUCACCAUGUAUACUAAGGUUACCCGAGUAAGUGAGUAGCACUUACACAGUUACACUCAUCAUCUGUAACACAAAACAUCUAAUCCAUAACAACAUGCUGGACUAUGAUGAAACAAGUAUAUAACUCUUAAAAGAAUCGAUGCAGAUCACAUAUUUGUUCCUAUCAGCCUCAAGACUGCAAAAAAUGGCGCAUAUGUAUUACAAGACAGUAAUACAUUACAUCAUGUAGAGGAGGGAAUUCCUUCAUAGAAUGAGCACGGCGCAGUUCAUUUUUCACGAGUAACAAUUGCAAACUGAAAAUGGUACAUAAAGUUAAGAAACCCAAAAUUGUAGAUGGAUCCUGCCAAUUUUAUUGUGGUGCUGUCAACUCAAACUUCAAGUUGCGCUGAGAUGAAAACUAGAGAAAUCACUUGUUAUAUUAGAAUAGUGCUGUUGCACCUCUAAAAUAGUACAAUAAACAAGUUACUUUACAGAGCCGCCGCGGUGCCAUAUGCAA
rnacentral:lncRNA from 1 species